UGGGGUAUAGCUCAGUGGUAGAGUGCUCGCUUAACACAUGCGAAGUACUGAGUUUGAUCCUCAGCACCACAU
rnacentral:tRNA from 1 species